rnacentral:rRNA from 1 species
GAUGAACGCUGGCGGCGUGCUUAACACAUGCCAGUCGAACGGAAAGGCCCAAGCGUGCUUGGGUACUCGAGUAGCGAACGGGUGAGUAACACGUGAGCGAUCUGCCCUUCACUUCGAGAUAUGCCUGGGAAACUGGGACUAAUACCGGAUAGGACCACAUGUUGGAUGGUGGGGUGGAAAGUUUUUCGGUGUGGGAGGAGCUCGCGGCCUAGCAGCUUGUUGGUGGGGUAAUGGCCUACCAAGGCGUCGGGGGGUAGCCGGCCGGAGUGGGUGUACGGCAACAUUGGGACUGGGAUACGGCCCAGCCUCCUACGGGGGGAAGCGGUGGGGAAUAUGGCACAAUGGGGGCAGGCCUGAUGCAGCGAGGCGGGGUGGGGGAUGACGGCUUUCGGGUGGUAAACCCCUUUCGCUAGGGAGGAAGCGCAAGUGACGGUACCUGGAGAAGAAGCACCGGCUAACUACGUG